AUAAGGAUAUAAAUGUCAUAUAGACACGUGUAUAGGUAAAUUAACAUAAAACAUUGUAAAUCCUUAGAUCGAACGCUGGCAGUUGUCUUUAAAACGACAACUUCUUUGAAAAAACGCAGAACUCAUGACUGUUGACUGGCUUAAUAAAUGAAAGCAGAUAUUGUUGUCCUGCCUUUUAAGGGAGCAAGGAUGAGAAAGAAACCAUAAACUCAGACCAAUGAAUGAAAGGCUGCAAGGCUGACUGCAGCAUCGUUGCAUAAUGGCCAUCAAAUGAAUUGCCGUAGACUUUGUGUACAUUUUGUCUUUUAUUUUGCGCUUUUUGCAGGACCAUAAUGUGUGAUAUAAACCGCAAUUGUGUCAACCAUUAAAACAUUCUUUGUCAUCAAUAAAAUCGCACUGAAAAAUA
rnacentral:sRNA from 1 species